UACGUAGGGGGGCAAGCGUUGUCCGGAAUCAUUGGGCGUAAAGAGCGUGUAGGCGGCUCGGUAAGUCCGCUGUGAAAGUCCAGGGCUCAACCCUGGAAUGCCGGUGGAAACUGUCGAGCUAGAGUCCGGAAGAGGCGAGUGGAAUUCCUGGUGUAGCGGUGAAAUGCGCAGAUAUCAGGAGGAACACCAAUGGCGAAGGCAGCUCGCUGGACGGUACUGACGCUGAGACGCGAAAGCGUGGGGAGCAAACAGG
rnacentral:rRNA from 1 species